rnacentral:rRNA from 1 species
ACGAACGCUGGCGGCGUGCUUAACACAUGCAAGUCGAACGGUGAAGCGCCUUCCUUUUUGGUGGGUGUGGAUGAGUGGCGAACGGGUGAGUAACACGUGAGUAACCUGCCCCCUUCUUCUGGAUAACCGCAUGAAAGUGUGGCUAAUACGGGAUAUUCUGGGUCUGUCGCAUGAUGGGUCUGGGAAAGAUAUUGUUUCGGUGGGGGAUGGGCUCGCGGCCUAUCAGCUUGUUGGUGGGGUGAUGGCCUACCAAGGCGGUGACGGGUAGCCGGCCUGAGAGGGUGGACGGUCACACUGGGACUGAGACACGGCCCAGACUCCUACGGGAGGCAGCAGUGGGGAAUAUUGCACAAUGGGCGCAAGCCUGAUGCAGCGACGCCGCGUGAGGGAUGGAGGCCUUCGGGUUGAGAACCUCUUUCGCCAGUGAAGCAGGCCUGCCUCGUUUGUGGGUGGGUUGACGGUAGCUGGAGAAGAAGCGCCGGCUAACUACGUG